ACAACCAGUAAAUUCAUGCUUCUCAGCCAUUCAGAUCUAUAAGUAUGAAAUACAAGACGAGUGUAUUCAACUUUCCUUCAUCGCCUCCUUUAAAUACUUUUUUUUCCUUUUUUUGAGUCAAUCCCCGCAGGAGCCGACCAUGUGAGCCCAUUAAGAGAACAGUUCCUUCCCACCUGCCGCCUGGAGCCAGCCAACAAUCUCAGCUUCACCACUCCAUUCUUGAUUAUGUACAGCCAUUCCAAUCCUGAGUGGCAGGAUUUUGCAAAGACAGCUGUUGGGCUCCAGGAACAUUUGGAGGAGGGGAAAAAUGUGAGGCUGCUUCCAGCAUCGCUGAUGUAAAAUAGCAGGAAUCAAAAGAUUCAUGGAUCAAGAGAGAUCGUUUCUGAUAAUUUCCAGUAAUCCCUUCCCUGGGAGCUGGCUUUUUCCAGGAGGUGUGAUGGAUUUGAAUGAAGGCAUUCAAAAAUUUUCACCCCCGCCCUUAUUUACUGAAAGCAGCAAAGCUCCAUGAGGCUGACCUUUCUGCAGUUGUGAGACCCACAGCAUGACUACUUCCUCAAGAGAAAAGAGCCCAACAUUUCCCUGCGUCAGAACCACAUAACACCAGUCUCCUGAAAUACUCUGCAACAAAUGAAAAGCACUCUGUUAUCAAAUUUGAAAUGAGAUGCAGACUCAGUCCUCUCUCAGAAGGCCCUGGGUCACAUUAGCAUGUGAGAUUAGCAUCUGAGCUUCUGAGGGCCCUGCAGCAGAAGAACCGAUUUAACUCUCUUUAACUCCGAAUUUCCAAAAUUUAUUUAACCGCUUAUAUUAGUUUGCUAGAGCUGCCGUAAGAAAAUACCAAAAACUGUGUGGUUUAAACAACAGAAAUUUUUUGUCUCACAGUUCUGGAGGCUAGGAGGCCAAGAUGAAGGCGUGGGCAGGGUUGGUUCCUUCUGAGGGCUGUGAGGGAAGGAUAUUCCAGACCUCCCUCCUUGGCUUAUAGAUGCCAUCUUCAUGUUCACAUCGUGUUCUCCCUGUAUCUGUCUGUGCCCAAACAUCCCCUUUUGAUAUUGGAAUAGGGUCUACACUAAUGACUUCAUUUAAACUUUAUAACUUCAUAAAACCAUCUCCAAAUAAGGUCACAUUCUGAGGCACUGAGAAUUAGGACUUACUUACCUAUGAAUUUGGGAGGGGUGGGGACACAAUUUGACCCAUUACACCAUUCAAUCCUUUUUUCAAAUGUCAUCUAUUAACAGCCUGCAGCACACAUUUUCGUAAAUGUUACUGUGACCUCACAGGUCAUGCUCUGCCUCAGUCGUUCCAGGAUGCUAUUUGCAGAAUAUACACACAAUCACUGGGGUGCUUUUUAAGAUUCUAGAUUCUUGGGUCUCAGCUCCACAGGUUGAAAUCCACUAGAUCUAGGAAGUAACUCAGGCACCUGCAAUAGUAAAACCUGCCCAGGUCCAGAUGUGUAACCAGAUUGGAGUUCUACUGCCAUUCAGCACUCCCUUAUUAUUUUCAGGCGUGAUUUGGGCCAGAAAUCUCAGAAUAGCUGCGUAAGAAUUGUACCUCUUCUUAACAUAGGAUGAACAUAGGAUCGUUUCCUCAUCUCUGGUUUUUAUCAUAUCUUGUAUCUGCCUCCAUCAUGAUACAAACCACUUAAUAUAGAGGGAGACCCUGCCUAUACAUCUUUUCCAUUCUCAGUGCCUAGCAGAGAGAUGGCACAUAAUGAGCAUUUAGUAAGUGUUUACUGAAUUAACAAGUAUCUAAAACAAUGCAUAUGAAAGUGCACAACUGUUUUAUUGUUUUAAAAAAAAGUUCUUAAUGUUGACAUAUCUUUAUCCUUGAGAUUUCGUCUACUCUUAAGACUUUAAAACAUAACCCAUGCAGCCUUCCUCCCCUACUCCUCUUUAUUCCAGCCCUAACAUGCCUUUAGUUUUCCAGGCACUUCAUACUCUUUCUAGCCUCAAGACCUUUUGCUACCUGCUACGUCGGAAUCUUCCCUCUGCCCGCUUCACGCACCCCACGCCCAACUGUCACCACUCUCUCCAAACUAAUAUUGGUCCUGCCCUUCAAAUUUGAAGUGGUGACUCUGUUAAGCAUUUCCAUACAGUGCUUUGGUUUUCCAUCGAGACAUUGGUUAUACUAGUGAAAAUUAGUUCAUAGGCUGCUCUCCUCGCCAGACUCUAAGCUACAUGUGGGCAGCCUUCAUGUCUGUUGUGUUUAUUUUUGAAACUACAGAGGCUUACACAAAGUAGGAAUUCCAAUAUCAAUUGAAUGGUUCUGUACUUUAUGGUGGUGACAUGCUUUUCUCCACCAUUAAAAUGAGAGCUUCUCUAGAAAAGGGGCUAAGUUUAAGUCAUUUUUCUAUUUUUGGCACCUGGCCUGGUGCCUGGAAGACAGAAUGUUUUCAAUAAAUUUCUUUAAAAUUGUUAA